AGCAGCCGCGGUAAUUCCAGCCCCAAUAGCGUAUAUUAAAGUUGUUGCAGUUAAAAAGCUCGUAGUUGAAUUUCGGGAUUGACGUGAUGGUCGUGCCUUAAGGGGUAUGAACUGUUGCUGUUGAUUUCUCACCUUCUGGAGAAACUUGAUGUCCUUAAUUGGGUGUCUUGCGGAUCCAGGACCUUUACCUUGAAAAAAUUAGAGUGUUUAAAGCAGGCAUUUUGCUCGAAUACAUUAGCAUGGAAUAAUAGAAUAGGACGGCAUGGUUCUAUUUUGUUGGUUUCUAGGAUCACCGUAAUGAUUAAUAGGGAUAGUUGGGGGCAUUAGUAUUCAAUUGUCAGAGGUGAAAUUCUUGGAUUUAUUGAAGACUAACUACUGCGAAAGCAUUUGCCAAGGAUGUUUUCAUUAAUCAAGAACGAAAGUUAGGGGAUCGAAGACGAUCAGAUACCGUCGUAGUCUUAACCAUAAACUAUGCCGACUAGGAAUCAGACGAUGUUAAUUUUUUAAUGACUCGUUUGGC
rnacentral:misc_RNA from 1 species